rnacentral:rRNA from 1 species
CCUACGGGGGGCAGCAGUCGAGAGGCUUCGGCAAUGGGGGAAACCCUGACCGAGCGACGCCGCGUGGAGGAUGAAGGCCCUUGGGUUGUAAACUCCUUUUAUUCGGGAAGAAGUGCGAUCAGGUAAAUAAUCUGGUCGUUUGACGGUACCGGAUGAAUAAGCUCCGGCUAACUCCGUGCCAGCAGCCGCGGUAAUACGGGGGGAGCAAGCGUUGUUCGGAAUCACUGGGCGUAAAGGGCGUGUAGGCGGUCAAGUAAGUGGGAUGUGAAAUGCCCCGGCUCACCCGGGGACCGGCAUCCCAAACUGCUUGGCUUGAGUAUGGGAGAGGAUGAGGGAAUUCCUGGUGUAGCGGUGAAAUGCGUAGAUAUCAGGAGGAACACCGGUGGCGAAGGCGCUCAUCUGGCCCAAUACUGACGCUAAUGCGCGAAAGCUAGGGGAGCAAACGGGAUUAGAUACCCUUGUAGUC